rnacentral:rRNA from 1 species
AUACGGAGGUUGCAAGCGUUAUUCGGAAUCACUGGGCGUAAAGGACGCGUAGGCGGGUUGGCAAGUCAGAUGUGAAAUCCUACAGCUUAACUGUAGAACUGCAUUUGAAACUGCUAACCUAGAGUAUGGGAGGGGGAGAUGGAAUUAGUGGUGUAGGGGUAAAAUCCGUAGAUAUCACUAGGAAUACCGAAAGCGAAGGCGAUCUCCUGGAACAUAACUGACGCUAAGGCGUGAAAGCGUGGGGAGCAAACAGGAUUAGAAACCCUUGUAGUCC